rnacentral:rRNA from 1 species
UACGUAGGGGGCAAGCGUUGUCCGGAGUUACUGGGCGUAAAGGGCACGCAGGCGGUUGUGUCAGUUUGCGGGGACAGUGGGUGGCUUAACUGCCCAAGGGUCGCAAAGACGGCACGACUGGAGAGCGAGAGAGGGACCUGGAACUCCGGGUGGAGCGGUGAAAUGCGUAGAGAUCGGGAGGAACACCCGUGGCGAAGGCGGCCAUCUGGACCAGCACUGACGCUGAGGCACGAAAGCGUGGGGAGCAAACAGGA